AUGUUCAAGUCUGUCAAGAUCCUUCUGUAUCUUAAGCCUAUCAUCUGAAGUGCUGGCUAUUCCUGCCACUUUGGUGUCAUCUGCAAAUUUGAUGAAUUGCCCAUCUAUCCCUUCAUUCAAGCCUCGAGGUGGUAUUUG